GACUGCUAUCGGAUUGAUACUAAGCCAUGCGAGUCAUUGUAGCUAUACAAGGCAGACGGCUCAGUAACGCGUAGUCAACCUACCUUAUGGACGGGGAUAACCUCGGGAAACUGAGAAUAAUACCCGAUAGAACACUAUGCCUGGAAUGGUUUAUGUUUCAAAUAAUUUAUUGCCAUAAGAUGGGACUGCGGCCUAUCAGUUUGUUGGUGAGGUAAUGGCCCACCAAGACUAUUACAGGUACGGGCUCUGAGAGGAGUAGCCCGGAGAUGGGUACUGAGACACGGACCCAGGCCCUAUGGGGCGCAGCAGGCGAGAAAACUUUGCAAUGUGCGAAAGCACGACAAGGUUAAUCCGAGUGGUUUCUGCUAAAGGAACCUUUGUCAGUCCUAGAAACACUAACGAAUAAGGGGUGGGCAAGUUCUGGUGUCAGCCGCCGCGGUAAAACCAGCACCUCAAGUGGUCAGGAUGAUUAUUGGGCCUAAAGCAUCCGUAGCCUGCUUUGUAAGUUUUCGGUUAAAUCCAUAUACUCAACGUAUGGGCUGCCGGGAAUACUGCAAAGCCAGGGAGUGGGAGAGGUAGACGGUACUCGGUAGGAAGGGGUAAAAUCCUUUGAUCUAUUGAUGACCACCUGUGGCGAAGGCGGUCUACCAGAACACGUCCGACGGUGAGGGAUGAAAGCUGGGGGAGCAAACCGGAUUAGAUACCCGGGUAGUCCCAGCUGUAAACUAUGCAAACUCGGUGAUGCAUUGGCUUGAUGCCAAUGCAGUGCCGCAGGGAAGCCGUUAAGUUUGCCGCCUGGGAAGUACGUACGCAAGUAUGAAACUUAAAGGAAUUGGCGGGGGAGCACCACAAGGGGUGAAGCCUGCGGUUCAAUUGGAGUCAACGCCAGAAAUCUUACCCGGAGAGACAGCAGAAUGAAGGUCAAGCUGAAGACUUUACCAGACAAGCUGAGAGGUGGUGCAUGGCCGUCGCCAGCUCGUGCCGUGAGAUGUCCUGUUAAGUCAGGUAACGAGCGAGAUCCCUGCCUCUAGUUGCCACCAUUACUCUCAGGAGUAGUGGGGCGAAUUAGCGGGACCGCCGUAGUUAAUACGGAGGAAGGAAGGGGCCACGGCAGGUCAGUAUGCCCCGAAACUCUGGGGCCACACGCGGGCUGCAAUGGUAACGACA
rnacentral:rRNA from 1 species